rnacentral:rRNA from 1 species
GUGUCAGCAGCCGCGGUAAGACAGAGGUGCCGAGCGUUAGGCGGAAUCACUGGGCUUAAAGCGUGUGUAGGCGGAUGGGUAAGUACCUUGUGAAAUCCCACGGCUCAACCGUGGAACUGCUCGGUAUACUGCUCGUCUUGAGCCAACUAGGGGCGACCGGAACAAACGGUGGAGCGGUGAAAUGCGUAGAUAUCGUUUGGAACGCCGAUGGUGAAAACAGGUCGCUGGGGUUGUGCUGACGCUGAGACACGAAAGCCAGGGGAGCGAACGGGAUUAGAUACCCCGGUAGUCC